UUACGGAAGGCAGCAGUGGGGAAUUUUGGACAAUGGGCGCAAGCCUGAUCCAGCCAUUCCGCGUGCAGGAUGAAGGCCCUCGGGUUGUAAACUGCUUUUGUACGGAACGAAACGGCGCGGGCCAAUACCCUGUGCUAAUGACGGUACCGUAAGAAUAAGCACCGGCUAACUACGUGCCAGCAGCCGCGGUAAUACGUAGGGUGCGAGCGUUAAUCGGAAUUACUGGGCGUAAAGCGUGCGCAGGCGGUGAUGUAAGACAGGUGUGAAAUCCCCGGGCUUAACCUGGGAACUGCAUUUGUGACUGCAUUGCUGGAGUGUGGCAGAGGGGGAUGGAAUUCCGCGUGUAGCAGUGAAAUUCGUAGAUAUGCGGAGGAACACCGAUGGCGAAGGCAAUCCCCUGGGCCUGCACUGACGCUCAUGCACGAAAGCGUGGGGAGCAAACAGGAUUAGAUACCCCGGUAGC
rnacentral:rRNA from 1 species